UACGUAGGGUGCGAGCGUUAAUCGGAAUUACUGGGCGUAAAGCGUGCGCAGGCGGUUCUGUAAGUCAGCUGUGAAAGCCCCGGGCUUAACCUGGGAACGGCGGUUGAAACUACAGGACUAGAAUCUGGCAGAGGGGGGUGGAAUUCCACGUGUAGCAGUGAAAUGCGUAGAGAUGUGGAGGAACACCGAUGGCGAAGGCGGCCCCCUGGGCUGAGAUUGACGCUCAGGCACGAAAGCGUGGGGAGCAAACAGG
rnacentral:rRNA from 1 species